rnacentral:rRNA from 1 species
GACGAACGCUGGCGGCGUGCUUAACACAUGCAAGUCGAACGGAAAGGCCCUGCUUUUGUUGGGUGGACGAGUGGCGAACGGGUGAGUAACACGUGAGUAACCUGCCCCUGUCUUUGGGAUAACUCCAGGAAACUGGGGCUAAUACCGGAUAUGAGCUCCUGCUCCAUGGGGGGGGUUGGAAAAUGGCGGCGGUGGUGGAUGGUCUCGCGGCUUACCAGCUUGUUGGUGGAGUAGUGGUUUACCAAGGGUUCGACGGAUAGCCGGCAUGGGAGGGUGGCCAGCGACAUUGGGACUAAGAUACGGCGCAGUGUCGUAGGGGAGGCAAAGGUAGAAAGUGUGGCAGAAUGGGGGGGCGCCGGAGGCGGAGGCGCCGGGUGCGGGAGGAUGGGCUUCGGGUUGUAAACCGCUUUAGCCGGAACCAUGGCGGGAGUGACGGUAAUGGGUAAAGAAGCACCGGCUAACUACGUG